GGGCUUAUGGUCUAGCGGUAUGACGUCGCCUCGACAUGGCGGAAGUCCCCGGUUCAAAUCCGGGUAGGCCCA
rnacentral:tRNA from 1 species